rnacentral:rRNA from 1 species
GUCUCUGGCCGUCCGAGUUGUAAUCUAGAGAAGUAAUGCCCGUGCUGGACCGUGUAUAAGUCUCCUGGGAUGGGGCGUCAUAGAGGGUGAGAAUCCCGUCUUUGACACGGACUACCAGUGCAUUGUGGUAUGCUCUCAAAGAGUCGAGUUGUUUGGGAAUGCAGCUCAAAAUGGGUGGUAAAUUCCAUCUAAAGCUAAAUAUUGGCGAGAGACCGAUAGCGAACAAGUACCGUGAGGGAAAGAUGAAAAGAACUUUGGAAAGAGAGUUAAACAGUACGUGAAAUUGCUGAAAGGGAAACGCUUGAAGUCAGUCGCGUUGGCCAGGAAUCAGCCUUGCUUUUGCGUGGUGUACUUUCUGGUUGACGGGUCAGCAUCAAUUUUGACCGCUGGAAAAGGGCCUGGGGAAUGUGGCAGCUUCGGCUGUGUUAUAGCCCCUAGUCACAUACAGUGGUUGGGAUUGAGGAACUCAGCACGCCGCAAGGCCGGGUUUCGACCACGUUCGUGCUUAGGAUGCUGGCAUAAUGGCUUUAAGCGACCCGUCUUGAAACACGGACCAAGGAGUCUAACAUGCCUGCGAGUAUUUGGGUGGAAAACCCGAGUGC